GCGUGGCAGCGAGGGCGGCGGGGUGGGGGUGGGGAGAUGGAGCCCAUGAGCAUCUCUGCAUCUGCGACCUCCCACUGCUGCUGCUGCUGUUGGUGCUAGUUUGAAACCAAGGUCCUCCUCCUGUAGCGACGAGGAGGGAGGCGGCUCCUGGGGUCGAAUCGUGGGGAUUCUUGCCUGCUCGGCUCGAUCCGACAAUGGACGCGGCUGCCGGAGGAGCGGCGCCGCGGCCGGCGGCC
rnacentral:lncRNA from 1 species